rnacentral:rRNA from 1 species
UACGUAGGGGGCAAGCGUUGUCCGGAAUCAUUGGGCGUAAAGAGCUUGUAGGCGGUUUGUCGCGUCUGCUGUGAAAAUCCGGGGCUCAACCCCGGACUUGCAGUGGGUACGGGCAGACUAGAGUGUGGUAGGGGAGACUGGAAUUCCUGGUGUAGCGGUGAAAUGCGCAGAUAUCAGGAGGAACACCAAUGGCGAAGGCAGCACUCUGGGACGUGACUGACGCUGAGACGCGAAAGCGUGGGGAGCAAACAGG